CACGAAGCUGGAAUCGCUAGUAAUCGCGAAUCAGCAUGUCGCGGUGAAUACGUUCCCGGGUCUUGUACACACCGCCCGUCACACCAUGGGAGUCGGGAAUGCCCGAAGCCGGUGACCCAACCUAAGGGAGGGAGCCGUCGAAGGCAGGUCUGAUAACUGGGGUGAAGUCGUAACAAGGUAAC
rnacentral:rRNA from 1 species